CCUACGGGUGGCAGCAGUGAGGAAUAUUGGUCAAUGGACGAGAGUCUGAACCAGCCAAGUAGCGUGAAGGAUGACUGCCCUAUGGGUUGUAAACUUCUUUUAUAUGGGAAUAAAACAGGGUAUGCAUACCCUCUUGUAUGUACCAUAUGAAUAAGGAUCGGCUAACUCCGUGCCAGCAGCCGCGGUAAUACGGAGGAUCCGAGCGUUAUCCGGAUUUAUUGGGUUUAAAGGGUGCGCAGUCGGAAGAUCAAGUCAGCGGUAAAAGUGAGAGGCUCAACCUCUUCGAGCCGUUGAAACUGGUGUUCUAGAGUGAGUGAGAAGGAUGCGGAAUGCGUGGUGUAGCGGUGAAAUGCAUAGAUAUCACGCAGAACUCCGAUUGCGAAGGCAGCAUACCGGCGCUCAACUGACGCUCAUGCACGAAAGUGUGGGUAGCGAACAGGAUUAGAUACCCGAGUAGUC
rnacentral:rRNA from 1 species